rnacentral:rRNA from 1 species
CUCCAGACUCCUACGGGAGGCAGCAGUGGGGAAUAUUGCACAAUGGGGGGAACCCUGAUGCAGCGACGCCGCGUGGGUGAAGGAGCACCUCGGUGCGUAAAGCCCUAUCGGCAGGGAAGAAACAGACGGUACCUGACUAAGAAGCCCCGGCUAACUACGUGCCAGCAGCCGCGGUAAUACGUAGGGGGCAAGCGUUAUCCGGAUUCACUGGGUGUAAAGGGAGCGUAGACGGCGACGCAAGCCUGGAGUGAAAGCCCGGGGCUCAACCCUGGGACUGCUCUGGAAACUGUAAAGCUGGAGUGCGGGAGGGGCAGGCGGAAUUCCUGGUGUAGCGGUGAAAUGCGUAGAUAUCAGGAGGAACACCGGCGGCGAAGGCGGCCUGCUGGACCGUAACUGACGUUGAGGCUCGAAAGCGUGGGGAGCAAACAGGAUUAGAUACCCUCGUA